GACGUUCUGAUGCUUCGUUCUGGCAUAACGCCAUUUUCGUGCAAAUAUAAUAUUCUUUUUCACUUUACACCUCAAAAAACCAAAAAUGGGCGCUGAAAAAGUAACCAUGAACAUCGUCGUCGUCGGACAAGUCCAAUCUGCCAAUGCCAUCAAAUCAGUUGCCAAAGCAACCCCAGUCACCAGCCAAUUGAUGAACUGUUAAUUGAAGUCCACAUCAACCUCAAACUCAAAAAUGCCAUAGCCCAAACAGUACAUAUAAUUUUAUGAUUUGUUUUUAAUUAUUAUCAUGAUGUGUAUUGACAUUCCAAAAUAAAUCAGUCUCUUCCGUCAAUG